CUGGGAAUUUUGCGCAAUGGACGAAAGUCUGACGCAGCAACGCCCCGUGGGCGAGGAAGGCCUUCGGGUUGUAAAGCCCUUUUGAUGGGGACGAAAAAAAUGACGGUACCCGUCGAAUAAGCACCGGCUAACUCCGUGCCAGCAGCCGCGGUAAUACGGAGGGUGCAAGCGUUAUUCGGAAUUACUGGGCGUAAAGCGCGUGUAGGCGGCUUAGAUAGUCUGGUGUGAAAUCCCUCGACUUAAUCGGGGAAGUGCAUUGGAUACUACUAGGCUGGAGUACUGGAGGGGAGAACGGAAUUCCAGGUGUAGAGGUGAAAUUCGUAGAUAUCUGGAGGAACAACGGUGGCGAAGGCGGUUCUCUGGACAGUUACUGACGCUGAGACGCGAAAGUGUGGGGAGCAAACAG
rnacentral:rRNA from 1 species